UAGGGAAUCUUCGGCAAUGGGGGCAACCCUGACCGAGCAACGCCGCGUGAGUGAAGAAGGUUUUCGGAUCGUAAAGCUCUGUUGUAAGUCAAGAACGAGUGUGAGAGUGGAAAGUUCACACUGUGACGGUAGCUUACCAGAAAGGGACGGCUAACUACGUGCCAGCAGCCGCGGUAAUACGUAGGUCCCGAGCGUUGUCCGGAUUUAUUGGGCGUAAAGCGAGCGCAGGCGGUUUGAUAAGUCUGAAGUUAAAGGCUGUGGCUCAACCAUAGUUCGCUUUGGAAACUGUCAAACUUGAGUGCAGAAGGGGAGAGUGGAAUUCCAUGUGUAGCGGUGAAAUGCGUAGAUAUAUGGAGGAACACCGGUGGCGAAAGCGGCUCUCUGGUCUGUAACUGACGCUGAGGCUCGAAAGCGUGGGGAGCGAACAGGAUUAGAUACCCUGGUAGUCCACGCCGUAACGAUGAGUGCUAAGUGUUGGGAGGUUUCCGCCUCUCAGUGCUGCAGCUAACGCAUUAAGCGCUCCGCCUGGGGAGUACGACCGCAAGGUU
rnacentral:rRNA from 1 species